rnacentral:rRNA from 1 species
AACGAACGCUGGCGGCAUGCCUAACACAUGCAAGUCGAACGAGACCUUCGGGUCUAGUGGCGCACGGGUGCGUAACACGUGGGAAUUUGCCUCGGGGUAUGGAAUAACUCAGGGAAACUUGAGCUAAUACCAUAUAAUGUCUUCGGACCAAAGAUUUAUCGCCCUGAGAUAAGCCCGCGUAGGAUUAGCUAGUUGGUGAGGUAAAGGCUCACCAAGGCGACGAUCCAUAGCUGGUCUGAGAGGAUGAUCAGCCACAUUGGGACUGAGACACGGCCCAAACUCCUACGGGAGGCAGCAGUGGGGAAUAUUGGACAAUGGGGCGCAAGCCUGAUCCAGCCAUGCCGCGUGAGUGAUGAAGGCCCUAGGGUUGUAAAGCUCUUUCACCGGUGAAGAUAAUGACGGUAACCGGAGAAGAAGCCCCCGGCUAACUACGUCGCC